rnacentral:tRNA from 1 species
GCGCGAGUGGUGGAAUUUGUAGACUCGCUAGAUUCAGGUUCUAGUGUCCACUCCGGACGUGGGGGUUCGAGUCCCCCCUCGCGCGCCA